GGAAUAUUGCACAAUGGGGGAAACCCUGAUGCAGCGACGCCGCGUGAGCGAAGAAGUAUUUCGGUAUGUAAAGCUCUAUCAGCAGGGAAGAAAAUGACUGUACCUGACUAAGAAGCCCCGGCUAAAUACGUGCCAGCAGCCGCGGUAAUACGUAUGGGGCAAGCGUUAUCCGGAUUUACUGGGUGUAAAGGGAGCGCAGGCGGCUUGGCAAGUCCGAUGUGAAAGGCUGGGGCUCAACCCCAGGACUGCAUUGGAAACUGUUAGGCUAGAGUGUCGGAGAGGUAAGCGGAAUUCCUAGUGUAGCGGUGAAAUGCGUAGAUAUUAGGAGGAACACCAGUGGCGAAGGCGGCUUACUGGACGACAACUGACGCUGAGGCUCGAAAGCGUGGGGAGCAAACA
rnacentral:rRNA from 1 species